AUUGAACGCUGGCGGCAUGCCUUACACAUGCAAGUCGAACGGUAACAGGUCUUCGGAUGCUGACGAGUGGCGAACGGGUGAGUAAUACAUCGGAACAUGCCCAGUCGUGGGGGAUAACACUUCGAAAGAAGUGCUAAUACCGCAUACGUCCUGAGGGAGAAAGCGGGGGAUCGCAAGACCUCGCGCGAUUGGAGUGGCCGAUGUCAGAUUAGCUAGUUGGUGGGGUAAAGGCCUACCAAGGCAACGAUCUGUAGCUGGUCUGAGAGGAUGAUCAGCCACACUGGGACUGAGACACGGCCCAGACUCCUACGGGAGGCAGCAGUGGGGAAUUUUGGACAAUGGGGGCAACCCUGAUCCAGCCAUUCCGCGUGAGUGAAGAAGGCCUUCGGGUUGUAAAGCUCUUUCGGCAGGAACGAAACGGUGAGCUCUAACAUAGCUUGCUAAUGACGGUACCUGAAGAAGAAGCACCGGCUAACUACGUGCCAGCAGCCGCCGUAA
rnacentral:rRNA from 1 species